rnacentral:rRNA from 1 species
AUUGAACGCUGGCGGCAUGCCUUACACAUGCAAGUCGAACGGUAACAGGCCGCAAGGUGCUGACGAGUGGCGAACGGGUGAGUAAUGCAUCGGAACGUGCCCAGUAGUGGGGGAUAGCCCGGCGAAAGCCGGAUUAAUACCGCAUACGACCUGAGGGUGAAAGGGGGGGAUCGCAAGACCUCUCGCUAUUGGAGCGGCCGAUGUCAGAUUAGCUAGUUGGUGGGGUAAAGGCCUACCAAGGCAACGAUCUGUAGUUGGUCUGAGAGGACGACCAGCAACACUGGGACUGAGACACGGCCCAGACUCCUACGGGAGGAAGCAGUGGGGAAUUUUGGACAAUGGGCGCAAGCCUGAUCCAGCAAUGCCGCGUGCAGGAAGAAGGCCUUCGGGUUGUAAACUGCUUUUGUCAGGGAAGAAAUCUUCUGGGUUAAUACCUCGGGAGGAUGACGGUACCUGAAGAAUAAGCACCGGCUAACUACGUGCCAGCAGCCGCGGUAAGAC